rnacentral:rRNA from 1 species
AGCAGCCGCGGUAAUUCCAGCUCCAAUAGCGUAUAUUAAAGUUGCUGCAGUUAAAAAGCUCGUAGUUGAAUUUCGGGACCAUCAUGUCGGUCGUGCCUCGGUACGUACUGGCAUUGUUGGUUUCUUCCUUCUGACGAACCAUGAUGUCAUUUAUUUGGUGUCGUGGGAAAUCAGGACUGUUACUUUGAAAAAAUUAGAGUGUUUAAAGCAGGCUCACGCUUGAAUACAUUAGCAUGGAAUAAUGAAAUAGGAUGUUUGAUUCUAUUUUGUUGGUUUUUAGGAUCGACGUAAUGAUUAAUAGGGAUAGUUGGGGGCAUUAGUAUUCAAUUGUCAGGGGUGAAAUUCUUGGAUUUAUUGAAGACUAACUACUGCAAAAGCAUUUGCCAAGGAUGUUUUCAUUAAUCAAGAACGAAAGUUAGGGAUCGAAGACGAUCAGAUACCGUCGUAGUCUUAACCAUAAACUAUGCCGACUAGGAAUCAGAUGAUGUUAAUUUUUUAAUGACUCAUUCGGCGCCUUACG